rfam:Gossypium arboreum cultivar AKA8401 contig_2946_9, whole genome shotgun sequence.
AUGCCAUGAUGAGGAUAUUUCCACAACUCCUCCUUAAACCACUCUCACGUGUCAUAGAGAGAUUUGUCGUCAAAUUUUGAAAUGUGGCGAUUUCAUUUCUGAGCUU